UACGGAGGGGGCUAGCGUUGUUCGGAAUUACUGGGCGUAAAGCGCACGUAGGCGGACUGUUAAGUCGGGGGUGAAAUCCUGGGGCUCAACCUCAGAAUUGCCUCCGAUACUGGCAGUCUCGAGUGCGGGAGAGGUGAGUGGAAUUCCCAGUGUAGAGGUGAAAUUCGUAGAUAUUGGGAAGAACACCAGUGGCGAAGGCGGCUCACUGGCCCGUAACUGACGCUGAGGUGCGAAAGCAUGGGGAGCAAACAGG
rnacentral:rRNA from 1 species